UACGAAGGGGGCUAGCGUUGCUCGGAAUUACUGGGCGUAAAGGGAGCGUAGGCGGAUAGUUUAGUCAGAGGUGAAAGCCCAGGGCUCAACCUUGGAAUUGCCUUUGAUACUGGCUAUCUUGAGUACGGAAGAGGUAUGUGGAACUCCGAGUGUAGAGGUGAAAUUCGUAGAUAUUCGGAAGAACACCAGUGGCGAAGGCGACAUACUGGUCCGUUACUGACGCUGAGGCUCGAAAGCGUGGGGGAGC
rnacentral:rRNA from 1 species